GCCGCCUGGCCUUAUCAGCCAGGUGCGGGACCCCUGGGAUAACACCGGCUGAGGAGACAGUGAGCGCUUCCCAGGCACCGGGCUGGUGGGAGAGGGGCCUGCCCGCCUGCCCGCCUGCCUGCCCACCAGCCUGGCCCCCGAGCCAGCGUCUUGAAUCGAGCAAAGCAGUGGCAAGACAGAAGUGGCGCCUGCUGGAAAGAGACAGAGCGUCUCCUUGAUUUCCUAACAGGCCCAGCCAUAUGCCAGGGGCGGACAGGCCAGCUCAGAACGCCGGGCCUGGCUUGCGAAACAGUCCUUUCCUCCUCUGGGUCUAAGGAUGCAUCCUGCCCUUAUCUGCCUCUGGGUUUUGCUGACAAUUCUCUUGGCUGAGCAUGCCUUUUCUGAUCUUGGCUCCAUUGACCAGAUCCCUUAAGAACAAUGAGGGUGCUUUUCGCUUCCCGGAAGCUGGCAGGGAGUUCCUCUAAAGCGCAGGUUGGAGUGGUCAGAAGGGAGCGAACUGACAGCACGAGGAAGGCUCAGCGCAUGCCAGCUCCACUCACGGGAAAUGACUCACUGCAGCCCUGCUGCUCUCGGGCUCCGGGGGACACAUCCACAUUUCCUGUAUCUCGGCUAGAGCCUUGGGCAGUGUGAGCUGGCAGGGCAGAUCGCUGAAGGCGGCUAGAGAUAGAAAACCACCCAGCUCUGCAUCCUGAGACAAAGAAGCCUUUCCCUGGGCUCAUAUGAUAGAGGUACGUUGCCUCUGGGCCUCAGUUUUGCCAUCUGUAAAAUAGGGUGAAGGUCAGACUAGAUUGGGCAUAUUCAGUGUGGGAUCCCCCUAAUGACGGCAUCAGCAUCACCUGGGAAACUGCAAAUUCUCCUUUAUGACAGUGGCUCUCAAACUUUAAUGUGCAUUGAAACCAUCUGGAGGAGAGGAGCGUUUCCCACUUGAGAACCACACAGCGGGAUCAGGGAGGGGCGAACUAUAGUCCACCGGCCAAAUCUGGCCAUGGCCUGCUUUUUAUGGCCCAUGAGCUAAGAAUAGUUUUUUCCAUUUUUCAGUAGUUGGGGAAAAAAAUCAAAGAAUAUUUUGUGACAUAUACAAAUUAUAUGAAAUUCAAAUCUCAGUGUCCAUAAAUAAGGUUUCGUUGGCACACAGUCACUCUCAGUCAUUUGCAUAUCGUCUACGGCUGCUUUUUCCGCUAUGAAGACAGAGUGGAGGCGCUUGCUCUCCUGGUUACAUGCUGCUGCUCACGCCCUACACCUCGCAGGGAUGUGGUUAAACUCGGCUUUGCCUCUUGGCCUGCAGAGCCUAAAAUAUUUACUAUCUGGCCCUUCAUACCAGACAUUUGCCGACCCUCAUCUACAGAGAGAAGGGAAAGGAAGAGAACGGGAGGGGAGGGGAGGGGAAAGGAGGGGGAAGGGGAGAGAAGGGGUUUGUGCAAGAGCUGGGGUCCCUUCUGGGGAAAAAAUGAGCUGUCAGGGGCUUUUGGAAUCUGAGAGAGUCCUGCUCUGCGCUGGGCCAACAUUUGGAAUCUUUUGCACAGUUGCUUUGAGGGUGAUCUGGAAGGCCCCUCUGACCAAUAAAGACCUUCCCUCUUGCCUGUAUGAAAACCUAACAUUCCACUUCUAGAGCAGGGGCUCUUACCUGGGAAGCCCCCCAUCCAGAGGCCAGGCUUCGGGGGUUCUAGGUAAGCUUUUAAGCAUGCAGGUGUUUUCUGGGGAGAGUUUGGUGGCGCCAGUGACCUUCCCUACCCCUCCCAAAUCCCAAGCACCCUUUUUGUUCCUUUGGGGCACACAUUUUUCUCUCCCCACCCCUCCUUUCAAAAUGUGAAAGUCCCCGGAAGGGGGACACUGUGCACCUACAUCUUCCUACCUAGGAAAGGGGUGAGGUGAUCUGAUGGGACUAGGCAGGCUUUAGGAACGUCCAAGGAGUCUGAGGAGAGGUGGAGGGCGGCGGGGGCAGGGGGGCAUUUAGAGAGAGGAAAUGGGAAAGAGGGCAUCUUUCCCAGAGGGCUGCAGGACCUCCGAGCCCACACUAUCUGUACUCAUCCACUUCUCCGCAUCAGCAAGAGGCAUCCAAGACUCGCAGCCCACACGGCUACCCUCCCACCCUCACUGGUGGGCACUUCCACUCCCCAGGCCCCACGAGGCCUCCCGCCUGCAGCGUUAGCCAAGCAAGUCUCAACUCUGGCCCUGGGAUUCCAGGUAUUUUCCCAGCCAGCCGCACCUCAUCUAAUUGCUUUCCAGUCAGCUAAUCCCUGGCCCACGCCCUCCACUCCAGCCAGGCAAGCCACCUCUGUGUGGCCAGCAGGAGCUUCUGAGACUUCCCAUGGCAUGCAUCCAAGCCUGGGGCAGCCUCUCGCCUCCCCUUGCCCAAACCACAUCCUCUUUGCCCUUCCCCACACCUCAAACUCUCCUCUGACUAACAUUUCCAAAAAAAGUAGAGCUUGGUCCAGUCCAGACCAAAAGCGGCAGACUAAUUCAUUCCCUACCACCUCCGCCCCCCAGACUCAGCACUUCCUGACUAUCAGGAAAGAACAAUCAGCAAAAAGUGGAGCUGUACCUACUGUUCAAUUUCUAGAGCUAAUUGUUUUCAGCAGGGUUUUGGCCUUAAUUAAAGGAUAAUUAAUUACUGAAUGUGUGUUUGCAUUUCCACAAGUGUGUUUGCGUUUCCUAAGUCUGGCUUUUAACCCUGGGAAACCAGAUUCAGCAAAUACUUUCAUGUUUCAAUACUUCUGAGUAAGGGAGAAGGUCUUAAUUACAGAAAUGGUAGUCCUGUGUAAUCAAGGGGCAAUGCAAGAAUGAGCUAAUUGUGCCUUCCACACACUCGGCCACGAUUUCUGUCGAGCUGCUGUGAGGAGAGGGUGGCAGCUGCCCAGCCCUGCCCAGCACUGUGUCCCUAUCCGUGGAUUCUCUUAUCCCUGUCACGCAACUGGCCACCCCUGCCACAGCCCUUCUCUUCCCUUUCUAUGUGUUUCUUCUUUCCUACCUUUUCCCCCUCUUUAGCACUUUGGGAGGCUGAGGCGGGA
rnacentral:lncRNA from 1 species